GACGAACGCUGGCGGCGUGCUUAACACAUGCAAGUCGAACGGAAAGGCCCUGCUUUUGUGGGGUGCUCGAGUGGCGAACGGGUGAGUAACACGUGAGUAACCUGCCCUUGACUUUGGGAUAACGUCAUGUAACUGGGGCUAUUACCGGAUAGGAGCUCCGGCUGCAAGGUGGGGGUUGGAAAGUUUCGGCGGCUGGGGAUGGACACGCGGCGUCUCAGCUUGUUGGUGGGGUAGUGGCUUCCCAAGGCUUUGGUGGGUAGCCGGCCUGAGCGGGUGACCGGCCACAUUGGGACUGAGACACGGCCCAGACUCCUACGGGAGGCAGCAGUGGGGAAUAUUGCACAAUGGGCGGAAGCCUGAUGCAGCAACGCCGCGUGCGGGAUGACGGCCUUCGGGUUGUAAACCGCUUUCGCCUGUGACGAAGCGUGAGUGACGGUAAUGGGUAAAGAAGCACCGGCUAACUACGUG
rnacentral:rRNA from 1 species